rnacentral:rRNA from 1 species
CUACGGGCGGCUGCAGUGGGGGAUAUUGCACAAUGGAGGAAACUCUGAUGCAGCGACGCCGCGUGAGUGAUGAAGUAUUUCGGUAUGUAAAGCUCUAUCAGCAGGGAAGAAAGGCUCCGUAUGGAGAGAUGACGGUACCUGAGUAAGAAGCCCCGGCUAACUACGUGCCGGCAGCCGCGGUAAUACGUAGGGGGCGAGCGUUAUCCGGAUUUACUGGGUGUAAAGGGAGCGCAGACGGAUGUGCAAGUCUGAUGUGAAAGCCCGGGGCUCACCCUCGGGACUGCAUUGGAAACUGUAGAUCUGGAGUAUUGGAAGGGCAAGCGGAAUUCCUGGUGUAGCGGUGAAAUGCGUAGAUAUCAGGAGGAACACCGGUGGCGAAGGCGGCUUGCUGGACAAUAACUGACGUUGAGGCUCGAAAGCGUGGGGAGCAAACAGGAUUAGAUACCCGAGUAGUC